UGGGGAAUCUUGCGCAAUGGGCGAAAGCCUGACGCAGCAACGCCGCGUGAGCGAAGACGGCCUUCGGGUUGUAAAGCUCUGUCAGGAGGGACGAAGCCACUCAGGUGAAUAGCCGAGAGGGUGACGGUACCUCCAGAGGAAGCCCCGGCUAACUACGUGCCAGCAGCCGCGGUAAUACGUAGGGGGCAAGCGUUGUCCGGAAUCAUUGGGCGUAAAGCGCGUGUAGGCGGCCAUCCAAGGCUGAUGUGAAAGCUCGGGGCUCAACCCCGAGGCUGCAUUGGAAACUGGCUGGCUUGAGUCCGGAAUAGGAGACUGGAAUUCCUGGUGUAGCGGUGAAAUGCGCAGAUAUCAGGAAGAACACCGGUGGCGAAGGCGGGUCUCUGGGACGGUACUGACGCUGAGACGCGAAAGCGUGGGGAGCAAACA
rnacentral:rRNA from 1 species